UGCGGUUAAAAAGCUCGUAGUUGGAUCUCGGCAGGUAGGGGGCGGUUCGUUUCUGACGGCACUGCCCCAUUUACCUGUGUUUUUGACGGAGGUCUCAGGGUGCUCUUUACCGAGUGUCCUGAUACGCCGUCAGGUUUACUUUGAAAAAAUUAGAGUGCUCAAAGCAGGCUACAAGCUUGAAUAUUUGUGCAUGGAAUAAUGGAAUAGGACGUCGUUUCUAUUUUUUUUGGUUUUCGGAAAUUGACGUAAUGAUUAAUAGGGACAGCCGGGGGCAUUAGUAUUCAGACGACAGAGGUGAAAUUCUUGGACCGUUUGAAGACUAACUACUGCGAAAGCAUUUGCCAAGAGUGUUUUCAUUAAUCAAGAACGAAAGUUAGAGGUUCGAAGGCGAUCAGAUACCGCCCUAGUUCUAACCAUAAACGAUGCUGACUAGCGAUCCGUAGCUGUUUUCUAUGUAGGCUCUACGGGAAGCUUCCGGGAAACCAAAGUUUUUGAGUUCCGGGGGAAGUAUGGUUGCAAAGCUGAAACUUAAAGGAAUUGACGGAAGGGCACCACCAGGAGUGGAGCCUGCGGCUUAAUUUGACUCAACACGGGGAAACUUACCAGGUCCAGACAUAGCAAGGAUUGACAGACUGAAAGCUCUUUCUCGAUUCUAUGGGGUGGUGGUGCAU
rnacentral:rRNA from 1 species